rnacentral:rRNA from 1 species
ACAUGCAAGUAGAACGCUGAAGGAGGAGCUUGCUUCUCUGGAUGAGUUGCGAACGGGUGAGUAACGCGUAGGUAACCUGCCUGGUAGCGGGGGAUAACUAUUGGAAACGAUAGCUAAUACCGCAUAAUAGUAGAUGUUGCAUGACAUUUGCUUAAAAGGUGCAAUUGCAUCACUACCAGAUGGACCUGCGUUGUAUUAGCUAGUUGGUGGGGUAACGGCUCACCAAGGCGACGAUACAUAGCCGACCUGAGAGGGUGAUCGGCCACACUGGGACUGAGACACGGCCCAGACUCCGACGGGAGGCAGCAGUAGGGAAUCUUCGGCAAUGGACGGAAGUCUGACCGAGCAACGCCGCGUGAGUGAAGAAGGUUUUCGGAUCGUAAAGCUCUGUUGUAAGAGAAGAACGAGUGUGAGAGUGGAAAGUUCACACUGUGACGGUAUCUUACCAGAAAGGGACGGCUAACUACGUGCCAGCAGCCGCGGUAAUACGUAGGUCCCGAGCGUUGUCCGGAUUUAUUGGGCGUAAAGCGAGCGCAGGCGGUUAGAUAAGUCUGAAGUUAAAGGCUGUGGCUUAACCAUAGUACGCUUUGGAAACUGUUUAACUUGAGUGCAAGAGGGGAGAGUGGAAUUCCAUGUGUAGCGGUGAAAUGCGUAGAUAUAUGGAGGAACACCGGUGGCGAAAGCGGCUCUCUGGCUUGUAACUGACGCUGAGGCUCGAAAGCGUGGGGAGCAAACAGGAUUAGAUACCCUGGUAGUCCACGCCGUAAACGAUGAGUGCUAGGUGUUAGACCCUUUCCGGGGUUUAGUGCCGCAGCUAACGCAUUAAGCACUCCGCCUGGGGAGUACGACCGCAAGGUUGAAACUCAAAGGAAUUGACGGGGGCCCGCACAAG